GAGGGAAAGUUGCAAAGAACUUUGAAGAGAGAGUUCAAGAGGGCGUGAAACCGGUUGGAAGUAAAGAGUUAGACCAGACGUUAGUCCUCGGGAUUCAGCCUGUUCGUGUGAGUCUCCCUGUUGCUGUGCUCUGUCUCUGACACAGCGGUGGGUACUGAGACCUGCAUGUCGGGUGCACUUCCCGAGGAUGCGCGCCAAAGGCGGUGAGACUGCUGUGUUGCCUGGGUAUUGUUGCCCCACCUCUUCGGAGUCGGGUGUCUCGUGCCUGGUGUCAGUACGGUCGGUCUUACCGUUAGACUACAGAAUGCCCGCUCUAGCUCACUACUCGGGGCACGGCGGCGGCAGAGUGAGGACCCCUGUCUCAGGACCUUGUUCGCUCAGCUGUCGUGUUCUCUCGGGGAUGUGAGUGGCAAUUCGGCUUUGGUGUUUUGUCUGUAACCUAACUCACCCGUCUUGAAACACGGACCAAGGAGUCUAACAUGUGCGCGAGUCAUUGGGUUGCUAAACCUAAAGGCGCAAUGAACGUGAAGGUAGGCUUGCCCUGCUGAUAUGAGAUCCUGGGCGUCCAGCCCGGGCGCAUCAUAGUCCCUUCUCAUAUGCAUUGUCAGAGAGGAGGAGAUAGAGCGUACAUGCUGGGACCCGAAAGAUGGUGAACUAUGCCUGAGCAGGAUGAAGCCAGAGGAAACUCUGGUGGAGGUCCA
rnacentral:rRNA from 1 species